UCUAAAACUCGAAUUAUACAUAAGUUUAAAAUAACAUCCGUCACUUCUAUCCGUACAUUCUCUUUGACAUUCCUAUGUGUAUGUAGAUACGUCAAUUCGGAUCAACGUUCGUCACAACGUCAGUUAUUUUAAUACUUACACGACUCCAGUCUAAAACUCGAAUUGUAUAAAUGUUUAAAGUAACAUCCUUCAAAUCUACCGUAUAUUCUCUGACAUUCAUAUGUGUAUGUACAUACGUCAAUUCGAAUCGACGUCCGUCAUUUUACGCGACCCCAGUUCAAAACGUCCAUUCGCUUGUCAUGUCAUUAUUAUCCCGUUAAAUUUCGCGGUAAAGUAUGUAACAUAUUCACGUGAAGGUUUAAUAAUGUUAGUUCCGCCACUUUUGAAACAGGCAGUAUAGGAAACGAAAAAAGGAACUCUUCCAACGAUCAUAAAGGGGAUAGACACAAAAGUGUGCGGACAGAGGCAGACCAAAGGAAGAGACGCGAUCGUGGUAGUAUGCUAUCCGCUUUAACGACGAGUUUCAGAGGCUUUCUCCUCCUUCUUCUCCUCCUUCUUUUCCACCUCUAGCUUCUUCGUCGUACUGCCUCUAUCUCCACCUCCGCCUUUUGCUUUUGCCUCAUCUUCGCUGCCACCUCUUCGAGGUCUUUUCGAAUUUUUCACUCGUCACUCCCUCCAAACCGGUGUUCCCCCUACUUCUUCCUUUCUUGCUCGGUAUACGAGGCUGUUUUCCUCGCUGUUUCUCUGUCCUGUGGCUACGUCCUCUCGCUUCUUCGGCUUCUUAUCCGCCCGGUGCCUCCUUCAAGUUUAUUCCUGCUGGUGAUUAUGAAAAUGGUCUGAGAGAUGGAUUAGAUCGUACGCAGAGUGACCAUUUAUUUUCGCGGUAAAUUCGAUAAAAAAAAAAGAAUAUGUAGACGCGGUUCAUUGAAAGUAAAGUGCAAGCCGAGCGACGGUUAUAUGGAUAGGAACAAAAUUGCUGAGAAUUUUCACCUUGAUAGGACAUUUCAAGGUCAUUGGAAUCAAUAAGAUAUAAAUUGAAGACAUGGUAGCCGAAUACAGCAAGAAGAAGGAAUUAAACAAAAGACAACGCAUAUUACAUUUCUACCAACUUAUACAUUCGGUAGCCUAGACAGAUUAUACUACCAACAACAUUUCAUUCUAAACAAAAUUGAAUGUAACAACUAAGAAA